rnacentral:rRNA from 1 species
GACGAACGCUGGCGGCGUGCCUAAUACAUGCAAGUUGAGCGCUGAAGGUUGGUACUUGUACCUACUGGCUGAGCAGCGAACGGGUGAGUAACGCGUGGGGAAUCUGCCUUUGAGCGGGGGACAACAUUUGGAAACGAAUGCUAAUACCGCAUAACAACUUUAAACACAAGUUUUAAGUUUGAAAGAUGCAAUUGCAUCACUCAAUGAUGAUCCCGCGUUGUAUUAGCUAGUUGGUGAGGUAAAGGCUCACCAAGGCGAUGAUACAUAGCCGACCUUAGAGGGUGAUCGGCCACAUUGGGACUGAGACACGGCCCAAACUCCUACGGGAGGCAGCAGUAGGGAAUCUUCGGCAAUGGACGAAAGUCUGAACGAGCAAAGCCGCGGGAGUGAAGAAGGUUUUCGGAUCGUAAAACUCUGUUGGUAGAGAAGAACGUUGGUGAGAGUGGAAAGCUCAUCAAGUGACGGUAACUACCCAGAAAGGGACGGCUAACUACGUG